rnacentral:rRNA from 1 species
UUGACCUCAAAUCAGGUAGGACUACCCGCUGAACUUAAGCAUAUCAAUAAGCGGAGGAAAAGAAACUAACAAGGAUUCCCCUAGUAACUGCGAGUGAAGCGGGAUAAGCUCAAAUUUGAAAUCUGGCAGUCUUUUUUUUCUUCUUUGGCUGUCCGAG